UACAGAGGGGGCAAGCGUUAUUCGGAAUUAUUGGGCGUAAAGGGCGCGUAGGCGGCCUGAUAAGUAGGGGGUGAAAUCCUGCGGCUUAACCGCAGGGCUGCCUUCUAAACUGUCGGGCUCGAGCACAGUAGAGGCAGGUGGAAUUCCCGGUGUAGCGGUGGAAUGCGUAGAGAUCGGGAAGAACAUCAGUGGCGAAGGCGGCCUGCUGGGCUGUUGCUGACGCUGAGGCGCGACAGCGUGGGGAGCAAACAGG
rnacentral:rRNA from 1 species